ensembl:lncRNA
AUGGCUGGCUGCUGUAGCAAAGCCAUUUUUCCUUCUAGGUCUCAUCAUGAUAGCACUGCUCAUAUUAGUGUUGUGUGUGUUGCCAUGCCUAAGAGUAAUGAUUUCACAGAUGAUAACAACUACAAUGACUGCUUAUGUUGCCGUGCCUGAAGAAGAACAACAUCCCGUUGCAAUUCUGUUAGAGGAGAACUUGUACUAGCUGCUAAUAAAUGACGUGGUGAUUAAAAAUGACUUGUCAAGUGAUCAUGCACUGAUUAAAACAUUAGUAGGUUAUGCAAGUUUUCAUGCUUUUAUUUUUUUGAAUCUUCAGUUUUAAACAUAAAGUUUUCAUUUUAAAUAUGAAGUUUUCAUUAUUUUACAUAUAAAGUUUUCAAUUUAAGGUUUGCAUCAUUUUAUAAUAUAAGGUUUUCAUCCUUGUAUUUUUUGAAGUUUUCAUUUUACAUAUUAGGCUUUCAUCAUUUUUAAAUAUAAAGUUUUCAUUUUACUUUUCAUCCUUUUAUUUUUUGUAAGUUUUCGUUUUAAAAUAUAAGGUUUUUAUCCUUUAUUUUUUGUAGUUUUAUUAUUUUUUCUUGUUUAUUCCACUUGUUAUUUCAUUUACUAUGAUUUUCAUUUACUAUGUUUUUCUUUUUAUUAUUUUCUUUUGUUUUAUUCUUUAGACCAAAUGACUGCCAUUUCUGCUAUGCUGACAUUUUGAAGAUUUUGGAAAUUAAAAAUUGCCUAAGAUACUUAAUAAAUAACCUUCAUAGACAAUUGUUGUAUACAUUUAAAAUAAGUUAAAACAGGAGGGAAUGUUACAGGAAAAAUGAUUCUAUGUUUCUUUACCUUCUUUUAAAUGUACAAAGAUGCCUUUUGUCUGCCCUUUGCCUAUGGUUAGAUUAGUUUAGAAUUAUCUUUUUAGACUUUCUCAGCAAAGACAUACUGUUUUGGGACAUAUUGUUUUAGAUUGUUUUAUCUCUCACAGCCUUCUCCCAGCUCUCUGCUGACGAGACUAGCGCCACAUAUGGAGUUGUUUAUUUUAUUUGUUUUGUAUUUUCUUAUCCUGUUCUCACUGUCUUUCCUAUAAAAAUUACCAAGCCACUGUGCAUGGUGUGAGUUGUUCUUAGCAGCUCACCCGUGUACACGUUUGAUAAAGAAAGUAACUUUGUCUCAUUGUGUCUUUAUUUCUCCUGGGUCUUUUACAGAGUUUUCCCCCAACACUCUCACACGGCGCCUAAGCUACGACCUUGGCUCCCUGUUUAUCUGCU